rnacentral:lncRNA from 7 species
CUCUCUUCCUCCGAUGGCUACUAUGACGAGGUGGAAUAAAUGUCUGGUGGUAGACGUUAAUGUCGAGGUAGACCCGUCGCACUUGGAUCAGACCAACGUCGCCGACGAUGCUCUACAGCGGGGACAAGGGCCGCGCGCAGGAUACUUUGGUCGUCUUCGAACGCGCUCUGGUGCAUAAGUGUAGCUUCGCAUCAAGGGCCUUCCGCUACACCGACAUCGAGAGGAGAAGCAACCGUCAACGUCGACCCGAGUGCACGUCGUCUUUGGAGGCUAACCAUGGGGCCAGGUGGGCUCGCCUGCUUCCACUGAUCGUGAACCUAGAGCAAUUGGUGCUGGCGAGUCAACCUAGGCGAGAGGAUUUCUCGUCAUAGCUGCUGCGCCACCACGGAACCACAGAACGCGUGGGCAGAGCAAUACAAUGUCCUAAAUUCAGGU